UACGUGGGGCGCAAGCGUUGUCCGGAAUUAUUGGGCGUAAAGAGCUCGUAGGCGGCUUGUCACGUCGGAUGUGAAAGCCCGGGGCUUAACCCCGGGUCUGCAUUCGAUACGGGCUAGCUAGAGUGUGGUAGGGGAGAUCGGAAUUCCUGGUGUAGCGGUGAAAUGCGCAGAUAUCAGGAGGAACACCGGUGGCGAAGGCGGGUCUCUGGGCCGAUACUGACGCUGAGGAGCGAAAGCGUGGGGAGCGAACAGG
rnacentral:rRNA from 1 species